ACUCCUGCGGGAGGCAGCAGUGGGGAAUUUUACGCAGUGGGGGAAACCCUGACGUAGCGACACCGCGUGAGCGAAGAAGCCCUUUGGGGUGUAAAGCUCUGUCAGCUGGAACGAAAACAAUGACGGUACCAGCAGAGGAAGCAUCGGCUAACUACGUGCCAGCAGCCGCGGUAAGACGUAGGAUGCGAGCGUUGUCCGGAUUUAUUGGGCGUAAAGAGUUCGUAGGUGGUUUGUUAAGUUUGGUGUUAAAGAUCGGGGCUCAACCCUGGGACUGCACUGAAUACUGGCAGACUCGAGUGUGGUAGAGGCUAGUGGAAUUCCCAGUGUAGCGGUGAAAUGCGUAGAUAUUGGGAAGAACACCGGUGGCGUAGGCGACUAGCUGGACCAUAACUGACGCUGAGGAACGAAAGCCAGGGGAGCGAAUGGGAUUAGAUACCCCGGUAGUCCCAUGAU
rnacentral:rRNA from 1 species